rnacentral:lncRNA from 1 species
AGUAAGAACAAUUAAACAAAAAUAAUGUUGGUAAAUCAAUUUGAUUGUAACACACUUAAAUCUCAAAGAGUAUUCAUGCACUUAUCAAAACAACUAACAAACCAAAAUUUUGGUGAACUAGAGCCACCCAAAAGUAUACUCAAAAUUCUACAAAAGCAAUGAUAAUACAAAUAAAACUCAAAGUAACAAAAAUAAAAAUUCAAAAAGCUCCUCAAUCUUCCUCCUCUUGUCCGCCACCAACCGAUCCAAGAACGUCUUCCAUCUCAUCACCAUCACCAUGGUUGGCACCACCUCAU